UACGGAGGAUGCGAGCGUUAUCCGGAUUCAUUGGGUUUAAAGGGUGCGCAGGCGGACGAUUAAGUCAGCGGUGAAAAGUAUGCGCUCAACGCAUAUCGUGCCGUUGAAACUGGUCGACUAGGAUACGGAUGCUGUGGGAGGAAUGUGUAGUGUAGCGGUGAAAUGCAUAGAUAUUACACAGAGCGCCGAUUGCGAAGGCAUCUCACAAAUUCGUUAUUGACGCUGAGGCACGAAAGUGCGGGGAUCAAAC
rnacentral:rRNA from 1 species